GGUGGUUCAUCAUCGGGUUUGGUUUUGGGGAGACUUUUUUAGGUGUCUACAAACGUGGUUCGGCCAUUGUAUAGUCUAUUCCUCUUAUUCAACUUAUUUUCUUUUUUGGUCAAGGAUCAAAGCAUGUAUUUCUUAUUGUUUUGAUGUUCAUAUGCUUGGUAAGAUAAUAUUGGUUGGAUCUUGCCUGCUACCUUGAGUCUCUUUAAACCAUUGAACUUGUUUUGGGGGGUCUUAUAGUUUGCGAAUCAGACAGAUUAGUGUGCUUUUUCUGCUUGUCAUUUAGGACUUUUUUUUGGUGUUUUGGACUUGGACACAAUAAGUCAUCCUCAUUUGUCCAGUUGUUUGUAUCCAUCUUCACAAGCAUAUUAGUGCCUGUGAGUAUCUCUGAGCAUUAUUUUUCAUCACUGUUUUUUUCUUAGUGUAUUAUAUAUUCCUUUGACCUAGCUACUAGAUCUUUUACCGAGUUUUCCUUUUUGUUGAUCUAAUUCGGUGCUUUAUAUGAGCUAAGUUAGUUAUAGUUGAAAUGCAACUACUCUUGACAUGGUCUGUGUUGGUGUGUUACCUAAGAUCAGCAUGGAGAAGAUCCUCGAGCACUAUGAAAGAUAUUAAUAUGCAGAGAGACCGCUGACUGCUCGUGGUCCUGAUUCCCAUGUACGCUGGCUCUGGAGCAUGCAAAGCUGAAGUCUAGGCUGGAAAUUCUGCAGAAAAAUCACAGGCUUUACAUGGGAGAAGAACUUGAUACCUUGAACCUGAAGGAACUUCAACAUUUAGAGCAUCAGCUUGACAGCACAAAGAAGGACAUACAGCAAGUGAGAACGGACACAAGCCGGAGGAGUAAAUCAGGCAGGUGGUGAGGAAGACAAUAAAGAGGUGGUUCCUCAAGAGGUUACUGAAACUGAACCUGUGGUUGCUGAGCGUGAGAAGAAAAUUGAUGCCAAAUAUGGUGAUUCGGAAGACAAAGAUGCAGAGAUACCUUCAUCUGAGAAUGUUCCGUUGGAAGGUGCAGAAACGACUGCCACUUAAGGUACAGAACAAGGUGGUGUUGCGACUGAGCAACAAUAUCCUGAUUCUGGUAAUAAACGCAUGACUUGGAGGAUUAAGAUUCCGAAUAAUAAGGUGACUUUGAGUAGCUUUUCUUUGUAGCGUUUAUUGCUUACUCCGUAUUAUUUGACUGGACUGAGUGAUCAUGUUUUAGUAUUACUGGAAUGAGGUUGGUCAUUAUUUCUUAAUUCUACCUAAAAGAGUAUUCAACUUCGGUAGGAUUUGUGUGUUUUGUUUGUUUAGGCCCCUCUUUUGCACCCAAAAAAAAACAAAAAAAACAAACAACCAACUUUGGUAGGAUUUAUUGAGACUUUGAGAGUAGU